GUGACAGCAGCCGCGGUAAUACGUAGGGGGCUAGCGUUGUCCGGAAUCAUUGGGCGUAAAGCGCGCGUAGGCGGCCCGGUAAGUCCGUUGUAAAAGUCAAAGGCUCAACCUUUGAAGGCCGAUGGAUACUGCCGGGCUAGAAUCCGGAAGAGGCGAGUGGAAUUCCUGGUGUAGCGGUGGAAUGCGCAGAUAUCAGGAGGAACACCAAUAGCGAAGGCAGCUCGCUGGGACGGUAUUGACGCUAAGGCGCGAAAGCGUGGGGAGCAAACAGGAUUAGAAACCCGGGUAGUCC
rnacentral:rRNA from 1 species